UUAUCUAUUUCGUGGUGAUUUAGUGAUGUAGGCAUAUGUUUUCCCAUGCCAAUAAAGCCAUUUGAAGAGAGAGAAGAAAGAGAGAGUAAGAGAUAGAAGGAAGAGAAGAGGUACAGGGAGGGAGAAGUGUAGAUAGAAGGAAGAGAAGAGGUACAGGGAGGGAGAAGUGUAGAUAGAAGGAAGAGAAGAGGUACAGGGAGGGAGAAGUGUAGAUAGAAGGAAGAGAAGAGGUACAGGGAGGGAGAAGUGUAGAUAGAAGGAAGAGAAGAGGUACAGGGAGGGAGAAGUGUAGAUAGAAGGAAGAGAAGAGGUACAGGGAGGGAGAAGUGUAGAUAGAAGGAAGAGAAGAGGUACAGGGAGGGAGAAGUGUAGAUAGAAGGAAGAGAAGAGGUACAGGGAGGGAGAAGUGUAGAUAGAAGGAAGAGAAGAGGUACAGGGAGGGAGAAGUGUAGAUAGAAGGAAGAGAAGAGGUACAGGGAGGGAGAAGUGUAGAUAGAAGGAAGAGAAGAGGUACAGGGAGGGAGAAGUGUAGAUAGAAGGAAGAGAAGAGGUACAGGGAGGGAGAAGUGUAGAUAGAAGGAAGAGAAGAGGUACAGGGAGGGAGAAGUGUAGAUAGAAGGAAGAGAAGAGGUACAGGGAGGGAGAAGUGUAGAUAGAAGGAAGAGAAGAGGUACAGGGAGGGAGAAGUGUAGAUAGAAGGAAGAGAAGAGGUACAGGGAGGGAGAAGUGUAGAUAGAAGGAAGGGAAGAGGUACAGGGAGGGAGAAGUGUAGAUAGAAGGAAGAGAAGAGGUACAGGGAGGGAGAAGUGUAGAUAGAAGGAAGAGAAGAGGUACAGGGAGGGAGAAGUGUAGAUAGAAGGAAGAGAAGAGGUACAGGGAGGGAGAAGUGUAGAUAGAAGGAAGAGAAGAGGUACAGGGAGGGAGAAGUGUAGAUCUGGUUGUGAUCUUGAAGUUCUCUGUCGUUAGACUCUAGAGGGCUCUGGCGAGAGAAACCAACUGUAGAAGUUCUAUGUAGUUAGACUCUAGAGGGCUCUGGCUAGAGAAACCAACUGUGGAAGUUCUCUGUAGUUAGACUCUAGAGGGCUCUGGCUAGAGAAACCAACUGUAGAAGUUCUCUGUAGUUAGACUCUAGAGGGCUCUGGCUAGAGAAACCAACUGUAGUGGCAGUCUCAAUGCUUCACUCUUGAAACUAUUAACGAAUAUUCUCUUUGUGGGGUUUAUGUUGUUGUUGUGGGGAAAGUAGGUCCUUAUAUCUGGUUGCUUGGUGUAGGGAUACUGCACUGGUGUAUGGAUACUGUAGUUAUGUGACAGCCUAAAUACUGUAACUAUAGCCAGCCCCAUGCCUUUAGGCUCUCUCUCUCUCUCUCUCUCUCUCUCUCUCUCUCUCUCUCUCUCUCUCUCUCUCUCCCUCUCUCUCUCUCUCUCUCUCUCUCUCUCUCUCUCUCUCUCUCUCUCUCUCUCUCUCUCUCUCUCUCUCUCAGUUCAAUUCAAAGGGCUGUAUUGGCAUGGAAACAUGUUUACAUUGCCAAAGUAUGUAAAAUAGACACUUAACUAAAGUGAAAAAUUAACAGUAAACAUUACAGUCACAGAAGUUUCAAAGUAAUAGCGACAUUUCAAAGAUCAUAUUAUAUUCUCUCUGUCUAAAUUCACCACAAAAAAAUAGAAUAGUGAAAGAAAGAAAGAAAGAAAGAAAGAAAGAAAGAAAGAAAGAAAGAAAGAAAGAAAGAAAGGAAAUAAAAGAGAACAAUACUAGUGUGGAACACAGUUCUGUCACUCCUCUCCUGGCUGCCUCCCAAGUGGCACCCUAUUCCCUAUAAACUACUACGUUUGACCAGAAGCCUGUGUACUGUAGUACACUACAAAGGGAAUAGGGGUGUCAUUUGGGAAACAAACCUUGUCUUUAGGAAAUUUCCAUGACUGCGUUCAUUGAGUAUGUUAUCUGACCGCAAGACUCUCCAGAUUUUAAACAAACGUUCCCGCCUCAUUCCCCUGAACUACACACACACACACACACACACA